GCAAUUAAUUGUUUGCCAGUCUGAGUCUGGUCAUAACUUUUAAUGAGAUAUUGCCUUAACCUGUUUAGGUUAACUUAAACUUUCAUUGCAAGCUGUGUGGUAUCAUGUAGCUUACCUGAUGUCUCAUAAAUACAAGCCAUUUGCACUUGUUCAAAGUGAGUGAAAAAUACCAUGGUUCUGAUCUGCCUACACUUUGUACAGAUGUAAAAUACUAUGCAAAGCUGUGGAUGCUGCUAAGAGACCCACUCAGCCUAAGGACCAGCUACCUGGAAAUGUCUGGUUUGUAAAAGAUAUUGCUUUGCUACAGCAUGACCAAAAAGACACCACAAGAAAGGCAACAAAGAUGGUUCGAGGUGAUUUUCCUCAAAAGUGGAUGUUCCCUCUCUGACAAGUCUUCACCGGUUACCCUAUCCUGGGCUGCUGUCUCCCAGUGUGUGGUGUCGAUGCCACAACUCUUGAAGCUUAUAUUGAGGACGUCUUUACAGCAUUUCUUUUGGCCUCUCCAUUUCCUUUCUCCUUUGGUGAACUGGGCAUACAGCAGUUGUUUUGGUAAGCAUACAUCAGGCAUGUGCACACAGUACCCGCUCCACCUCAGCUGGUGCUGGAUAAUCAGUGUCUCUAUACUGAAGAUAUCGGCCUCUGCGAGGACACUGACAUUAGUGUGACAAUCCUCCCACUUUAUGUUGAGGAUCUUCUGAAGA